rnacentral:rRNA from 1 species
AGCAGCCGCGGUAAUUCCAGCUCCAAUAGCGUAUAUUAAAGUUGUUGCAGUUAAAAAGCUCGUAGUUGAAUUUCGGGGUUAGUAGGUUGGUCAUGCCUCUGGUAUGUACUGGUCUCACUGAUUCCUCCUUCCUGAUGAGCCGUAAUGCCAUUAAUUUGGUGUUGCGGGGAAUUUGGACUGUUACUUUGAAAAAAUUAGAGUGUUUAAAGCAAGCUAACGCUUGAAUACAUUAGCAUGGAAUAAUGAAAUAGGACGUUCGAUCCUAUUUUGUUGGUUUCUAGGAUUGACGUAAUGAUUAAUAGGGAUAGUUGGGGGCAUUAGUAUUCAAUUGUCAGAGGUGAAAUUCUUGGAUUUAUUGAAGACUAACUACUGCGAAAGCAUUUGCCAAGGAUGUUUUCAUUAAUCAAGAACGAAAGUUAGGGGAUCGAAGACGAUCAGAUACCGUCGUAGUCUUAACCAUAAACUAUGCCGACUAGGGAUCGGAUGAUGUUAAUUUUUAAUGA